rnacentral:rRNA from 1 species
CAACCGGAACGGUUGCUAAUACCGCAUAAGACCACGACCCGGCAUCGGGAUGAGGUCAAAGGAGCAAUCCGCUAUUGGAGGGGUUCGCGUCCCAUUAGAUAGUUGGCGGGGUAACGGCCCACCAAGUCCGCGAUGGGUAGCCGAGCUGAGAGGCUGAUCGGCCACACUGGAACUGAGACACGGUCCAGACUCCUACGGGAGGCAGCAGUGGGGAAUAUUGGGCAAUGGGCGCAAGCCUGACCCAGCAACGCCGCGUGAGGGAAGAAGGCUUUCGGGUUGUAAACCUCUGUCCUUGGUGACGAAACAAAUGACGGUAGCCAAGGAGGAAGCCCCGGCUAACUACGUGCCAGCAGCCGCGGUAAUACGUAGGGGGCGAGCGUUGUCCGGAAUUACUGGGCGUAAAGGGUGCGUAGGCGGCCUUUUAAGUUGGAUGUGAAAUCCCCGAGCUUAACUUGGGUGGUGCAUCCAAAACUGGGAGGCUAGAGUGCAGGAGAGGGAAGCGGAAUUCCUAGUGUAGCGGUGAAAUGCGUAGAUAUUAGGAG